ACCCAGCUUCCUUCCUGGUGCACACAGGUGUUUGGCCACGGGAAGGUGAAUGGUGAACCCACAUGGGCACUCCUCCUGACGGCACUCAUCGCCGAGCUGGGCAUCCUCAUCGCCUCCCUCGACAUGGUGGCCCCCAUCUUAUCCAUGUUCUUUCUGAUGUGCUACCUGUUCGUGAACCUCGCCUGUGCGGUGCAGACACUCCUGAGGACCCCCAACUGGCGGCCCCGGUUCAAGUACUAUCACUGGUGAGCCAUGCCUCUGACACGGGAGACCCUGGGGAGGCCAGGAGCCUCAUUCUGGGUGAGGCUUGGGCUUCCUGGG
rnacentral:lncRNA from 1 species